UCGAGAAUCUUCGGCAAUGGGCGCAAGCCUGACCGAGCGACGCCGCGUGGAGGACGAAGGCCUUCGGGUUGUAAACUCCUGUCGAGGGGGAGGAAGGCGCAAGCUUGACCGAUCCCUGGAGGAAGCACGGGCUAAGUUCGUGCCAGCAGCCGCGGUAAGACGAACCGUGCGAACGUUAUUCGGAAUUACUGGGCUUAAAGCGCGUGUAGGCGGGCCGGCACGUCCGACGCUGAAAUCCCCCGGCUCAACCGGGGAAGUGGCGGGGAUACGACCGGCCUCGAGGGGGGUAGGGGGACCUGGAACUUCCGGUGGAGCGGUGAAAUGCGUUGAGAUCGGAAGGAACGCCCGUGGCGAAAGCGAGGUCCUGGACCCUUUCUGACGCUGAGACGCGAAAGCCAGGGGAGCGAACGG
rnacentral:rRNA from 1 species